rnacentral:rRNA from 1 species
UACGAAGGGGGCUAGCGUUGCUCGGAAUCACUGGGCGUAAAGGGUGCGUAGGCGGGUCUUUAAGUCAGGGGUGAAAUGCCAGGGCUCAACCUUGGAACUGCCUUUGAUACUGGAGACCUUGAGUCCGGGAGAGGUGAGUGGAAUUGCGAGUGUAGAGGUGAAAUUCGUAGAUAUUCGCAAGAACACCCGUGGCGAAGGCGGCUCUCUGGAACGCAACUGACGCUGAGACGCGAAAGCGUGGGGAGCAAACAGG